UAUAUAACAAGAAUUUUUAAAUUUAUAAUCAAGUUCUGUUGGGCCACAUAAUUAAAUAAAUAGAAGCUAUGCCCUGGCCUUUGCAUUGCAGCCCCCCUUGCACAAGUCGUCUGGACAGCAAAUCGAGUGGUGAGGUGCAUGCAGAUGAGGAGGAGA